AUGAUUGUUUUUGCGACUCAUUAUAUUAAGGGCUGUCAUGACAACUCACCCCUAAAACCUAAUACCUCUACCAUGUUCCCUCAACAAUAUUAUAGGGUUGAUAUUCAUCAAUGACAAUCUUUUUGUUUAUAAUUAUUAUAUUCAUCAAAUAAGAAUAGAGCAACUAGACUAGGUAAUCGGACAACAAUAAUCAACUACAACACAUCUAUAUGCUACUACAAAUUAAGGGAUACGUCCCAUCGAUUACGAUCCGACUCUAAAAGAAAUGCGCUUCAAUUCUAAUUUAGUUAGGCGUCGAACAAAGAAAAAUAUUCUCUACAUGUCUUCCUCGACUCUUCACGAUCAUUGUACUUUUCUGGUGACGAUUCUCAUUCACGCUGCCUAGAGACUCUCUUGGUUUCCAUACUUUUUGUUAUUAAUAAAUGACAAAAUUGUUAUGGGUUUUGUUUUAUUGAUGAUAUUCGGAUGAUGAUAUUUUGAUGAUUACAAAGCAAGAAUGUGGCCUCUAUAUAUAACAAAAGAGAGGCACAAUAAAAGGCACAAUGAAAGAAGAUAAAACAGGAAUGGAAAUCAUCAUGGGGCAAUAGUCUUGGAGAGACAAAUAAGGAGAGAAUGUUGCACAAUAAAAGCCCCAUAUUAUUCUUCCCAUAUUGUUAUGGGUUCCGAACACCCAACUUGCACAGCAGGAAACAAAGUGAGUUGGCCCCUAAGUCUUUUGUAAGAACGUCAGCAAUUUGAUCUUUGGUGGCAAUAGACAUGGGACAUAUCUCCAUAGAAUCAACUCUUUCCCUUAUAAAGUAGCAGUCCAUUUCUACGU
rnacentral:lncRNA from 1 species